CUGUUUACCAAAAACAUAGCCCUAGAUAAUAUCUAAGGUGUAACCUGCCCAAUGAUUUUUAAAUUAAAAAUAAUAAUAUUAUUUUAAUAAAAUUUAAAGGACGCAGUAACCUUGACUGUGAUAAUGUAGCAUAAUCACUCGCCAUUUAAUUGAUGGAUAGUAUGAAUGGUUAAACGAAUAUCUCACUGUCUUAAAAAAAAUCUUUCGAAAAUUAGAAUAAUAGUUAAGAUGCUAUUUAAAAUUGUAAGACGAAAAGACCCUAUAGAGCUUAACUAUAAUUUCUCUAAAAAAAUAAAACAUAAAAACCUUUAAGUUAACUAGAGAAAUAGGUAGUUUAGUUGGGGCGACUAUCUUCUAAAAAUAACGAAGACAAGCAAAUAUUAAUAAAAUAAUUUAUUGUAUAAAAAAUUAUUUUAACAAUUACAAACGUAGGCUAUAAUGACCCAUUAUAAUUUAGUAAAAAAUAUAAUGAUUAAUAAAUAAAAGCUACCUUAGGGAUAACAGGAUUAUUUCAUUUUAGAAACCUUAUCGAAAAUGAAGUUUGUCACCUCUAUGUUGAAUUAAGAUGUCCAGAUAAUGCAGAAGUUAUCAAGGGUAGGUCUGUUCGACCUUUAAAAUCUUACAUGAUUUGAGUUCAUUCCG
rnacentral:rRNA from 1 species